rfam:Myotis davidii contig182553, whole genome shotgun sequence.
GGCAGUUCUCGGGUGAUGCACCCCAGAAUUGGGCUCCUUCCUCUCUGGUUAUAGGUGUGUCACCCAAGAACCACA